rnacentral:misc_RNA from 1 species
AUACCAAGUUGCUGAUCUCCA